rnacentral:tRNA from 1 species
GCCGGGGUGGCGGAGCGGACCACCGUCGACUCCAGGUCACCGAGGGGCGCGAUGUUCAGGUCGUCGGCCCGGAUC